ACGCGUGAGAAUCUGGCUUCAGGUCUGGGACAACCACUGGAAACGGUGGCUAAUACCGGAUGUGCCGAAAGGUGAAAGGUUAACUGCCUGAAGAUGAGCUCGCGUCUGAUUAGCUAGUUGGUAGGGUAAGAGCUUACCAAGGCGACGAUCAGUAGCUGGUCUGAGAGGACGAUCAGCCACACUGGGACUGAGACACGGCCCAGACUCCUACGGGAGGCAGCAGUGGGGAAUUUUCCGCAAUGGGCGAAAGCCUGACGGAGCAAUACCGCGUGAGGGAGGAAGGCUCUUGGGUUGUAAACCUCUUUUCUCAGGGAAGAUAAUGACGGUACUUGAGGAAUAAGCAUCGGCUAACUCCGUGCCAGCAGCCGCGGUAAUACGGAGGAUGCAAGCGUUAUCCGGAAUGAUUGGGCGUAAAGCGUUCGCAGGUGGCAUUGAAAGUCUGCUGUUAAAGAAUCUGGCUCAACCAGAUAGAGGCAGUGGAAACUACAAAGCUAGAGUGCGGUAGGGGCAGAGGGAAUUCCUGGUGUAGCGGUGAAAUGCGUAGAGUUCAGGAAGAACACCGGUGGCGAAAGCGCUCUGCUAGGCCGCAACUGACACUGAGGGACGAAAGCUAGGGGAGCGAAAGGGAUUAGAUACC
rnacentral:rRNA from 1 species